UACAGAGGGGGCAAGCGUUGUUCGGAAUUACUGGGCGUAAAGGGCGCGUAGGCGGCCUGUUAAGUCGAACGUGAAAUCCCCGGGCUCAACCCGGGAACUGCGUCCGAUACUGGCAGGCUUGAAUCCGGGAGAGGGAUGCGGAAUUCCAGGUGUAGCGGUGAAAUGCGCAGAUAUCAGGAGGAACACCGGUGGCGAAGGCGGGAUCCUGGGCCAGUACUGACGCUGAGGAGCGAAAGCGUGGGGAGCAAACAGG
rnacentral:rRNA from 1 species